rnacentral:pre_miRNA from 1 species
AAUAGGAAAAUGACAAAUCAAAUUUUUCUCAUGAUUUUCAGCUUUUUCAUCCUAAAAAAAAUUUAAAUUCAACUAAAAAUGUUAAAAAUUAAGAGUAAAAAUAUGAUUUAUCAUUUUUCUAUU